GACGAACGCUGGCGGUGUGCUUAACACAUGCAAGUCGAACGGAAAGGCCCUGCUUUUGUGGGGUGCUCGAGUGGCGAACGGGUGAGUAACACGUGAGUAACCUGCCCUUGACUUUGGGAUAACUUCAGGAAACUGGGGCUAAUACCGGAUAGGAGCUCCUGCUGCAUGGUGGGGGUUGGAAAGUUUCGGCGGUUGGGGAUGGACUCGCGGCUUAUCAGCUUGUUGGUGGGGUAGUGGCUUACCAAGGCUUUGACGGGUAGCCGGCCUGAGAGGGUGACCGGCCACAUUGGGACUGAGAUACGGCCCAGACUCCUACGGGAGGCAGCAGUGGGGAAUAUUGCACAAUGGGCGGAGGCCUGAUGCAGCAACGCCGCGUGCGGGAAGACGGCCUUAGGGUUGUAAACCGCUUUCGCCUGUGACGAAGCGUGAGUGACGGUAAUGGGUAAAGAAGCACCGGCUAACUACGUG
rnacentral:rRNA from 1 species